rnacentral:rRNA from 1 species
UGAGCUGCGGCAUCCUUACACAUGCAAGUCGAACGGCAGCACGGGAGCAAUCCUGGUGGCGAGUGGCGAACGGGUGAGUAAUACAUCGGAACGUGUCCUGUAGUGGGGGAUAGCCCGGCGAAAGCCGGAUUAAUACCGCAUACGCUCUACGGAGGAAAGGGGGGGAUCUUAGGACCUCUCGCUACAGGGGCGGCCGAUGGCAGAUUAGCUAGUUGGUGGGGUAAAGGCCUACCAAGGCGACGAUCUGUAGCUGGUCUGAGAGGACGACCAGCCACACUGGGACUGAGACACGGCCCAGACUCCUACGGGAGGCAGCAGUGGGGAAUUUUGGACAAUGGGGGCAACCCUGAUCCAGCAAUGCCGCGUGUGUGAAGAAGGCCUUCGGGUUGUAAAGCACUUUUGUCCGGAAAGAAAACCUGCGCCCUAAUAUGGUGGGGGGAUGACGGUACCGGAAGAAUAAGCACCGGCUAACUACGUGCCAGCAGCCGCGGUAAUACGUAGGGUGCAAGCGUUAAUCGGAAUUACUGGGCGUAAAGCGUGCGCAGGCGGUCCGCUAAGACAGAUGUGAAAUCCCCGGGCUUAACCUGGGAACUGCAUUUGUGACUGGCGGGCUAGAGUAUGGCAGAGGGGGGUAGAAUUCCACGUGUAGCAGUGAAAUGCGUAGAGAUGUGGAGGAAUACCGAUGGCGAAGGCAGCCCCCUGGGCCAAUACUGACGCUCAUGCACGAAAGCGUGGGGAGCAAACAGGAUUAGAUACCCUGGUAGUCCACGCCCUAAACGAUGUCAACUAGUUGUUGGGGAUUCAUUUCCUUAGUAACGUAGCUAACGCGUGAAGUGACCGCCUGG